rnacentral:pre_miRNA from 7 species
GAACGCCAGUGAAAAUCGAUUUUCACUGGCGGUUUUAUUACGUCGACCGCCAGUGAAAAUCGAUUUUCACUGGCGGUC